rnacentral:rRNA from 1 species
UACGUAGGGGGCAAGCGUUGUCCGGAAUCAUUGGGCGUAAAGAGCGUGUAGGCGGCCCGGUAAGUCCGCCGUGAAAGUCCAGGGCUCAACCCUGGAAUGCCGGUGGAAACUGCCGGGCUGGAGUCCGGAAGAGGCGAGUGGAAUUCCUGGUGUAGCGGUGAAAUGCGCAGAUAUCAGGAAGAACACCCGUGGCGAAGGCGGCUCUCUGGGACGGUACUGACGCUGAGACGCGAAAGCGUGGGGAGCGAACAGG